rfam:Myotis lucifugus cont2.49359, whole genome shotgun sequence.
CAAACCAGUUUAAUGUUUUCUGCACAGACCCUGGCUUUUCUUAAAUUUUAUAUAUGGGAAAGCCUGUGUUUGUAUUGGACCUUCUGGUUUC